rnacentral:rRNA from 1 species
UCAUUUGUUUUUUAAUUGGAAACUGGAAUGAACGGUUGACCUUGUUUAAUAAGUUUGUAUAUUUUAAUAGAAAGUUAAAGUCAAGGUAAGAAUUCUUUGAUAGUUUAGGGGACGAUAAGACCCUAUAAGCUUUAUAAGCGUAGUAGCGAUUUUGUUUUUCAAAUUAGUUUAUUUUGCUGGGGCGGCACUGGUGUAUUAACCAUUAGUUUAUUUAGGAUCCUAAAAAUAUAGAUGAGAUGUAAAAGUUACUUUAGGGGUAACAGUGCAAUAUUUUUGGAGAGAUCUUAUCGAUAAAUAUGUUUGCAACCUCGAUGUUGAAUUAAAAUUUCUACGUGAAGCAGAAAGUACGGUAGAGGGUUUGUUCAACCUUUAAAUUUUUACAUGAUCUGAGU